rnacentral:rRNA from 1 species
GUCUAUGGCCAUGCCACCCUGAACAAGCCCAAUGUCUGAUCUCCGAAGCUAAGCAGGGCUGGACCUGAUUAGUACUUGGAUGGGAGACCACCUAGGAAGACCAGGUGCUGUAGGCA